rnacentral:lncRNA from 1 species
CUUUUUUUUUGAUAAAGUAGAGUUUCAAAGUAAAAGUGCUCUGUUCUCAUCCUUGAACGGGUUUUUUAUUUAUUUAAGAAUCAUCAAUCAUAAAACACUGUUUUCAUAAAACACUUAUAUAAAUAUAAAUAAACGUCUAUGACAACAUGCAAUGUGUUCAGGAAUGUUAGUUUUAUAUUUCUUUAGAAAUUGUUUUGUUGGAUAAAAUGAAUGUGGCAGUGAGCCAGCAAAAACGUGGUGGUGUAACAUUAAACACUACAUUAUGCUAUAAUGCAGAUAAGACCUACCACAGUUCUUUAAUAAUUCACUGUAUAAGUGAACAAAUGGCCUUCAGUAAGCAAGUGUUUUAGCAACCGAAUGAAGGUUUCAGCCCAUUGAGUAUGCUGGUAGGCUGGUACAGUAGUAGUACAGUAGGUGUGCCAAGUUUCGUCGGCCACAUUUCUUCAGGAGUUCCACCCACUCUGCUGCAGUAGCUUCCUGCUUUCAGUCACAUUUCCACACACAAACUCUUGGUCUUAUCCGGAGAUGUCUUUGAGUGAGAAAAGUGAUGAGGAGAUCAGCGAGUUGCUUGCUGAGUAUGGCAUCAAACAUGGACCCAUAGUAGACUCUACUAGAAAGCUGUAUGAAAAGAAGCUUGAAAAGGCCAUGGAGGCCACUCCACUGCAAGCCUCAUCUGAUAAGACCUACUACAGAGAGGAAGGUAGGCUGUGUGUUACCUGGGGGAUUGUUCAUGUGUGGGUCUAUAAAUGUCCCACAGUAUGUGUGCAAAUGGCAGUUUAUUUUCUAGUGUCAUCUUCCUUAUUGUGUCACCCAUAGUUUUUUGACUGUUGAAAUCUCAGCCUGCAUUCUCCUAAACAUCAUCAAAAACAUCACAAAUAAUAGAAGAGCUGAUCUUACGGGACAUUGCUGUAAAACAUCAAUUAUAUUUUUCAGACAUGUAUUAUCAUUGUAAACACGCUUUAACACUGGGAGCUGUCCUUGUAAAAUCUGCCAUCAGCUGUUUGGUCUCUGUGAACCUGUUAUUAUUUCUGCUAUUGCCAUCUUAUGAUAUUCUCAGACACAAUGCAGUAGGUGCAGUAAAUGUUUAAAUGAAUGAGGUCCAAAGUGUGAUGAUGUGUUUGUUUACAGAGGAGGAAGUCACCUACAUCACAUACCAGAGUCCUGUGAGUCCAGAUUGUCUGCUUAUUCCUGUUUGUGCCAAGUGUUUGUGCCUGCUCUGUGACUGUAAAUAAUCUCACAAACUAUCCUUCUUUCAUUUUCACAGGUUAGACAUGAGGUUUAUGGGGAUGUGUGAGUACAGUCUUCACACACACACACACACACACACACACACACACACACACACACACACACACACACACACACACACACACACACACACACACACACAAGGUAUGUUGAUGCUAGAUAAUGCCCUGAUUAACCUGUGAGGGGGGCAGAAAUAUGUGGCUGGGCCUGUAUUAAAGGGUAACUUUGGUUACGGUAAUAUCACUGUUUGGUUGCUUUGAACACAGCAAUAUGACUUAUUUAUGGUUAAAUAAAAAGACUCUUAUUUUUUCUUAAAAAGGUCUAACUCGGUAGGGAUCCUUUCCGUAAUGUUGUCAGACACUUAGAAUAACAAUCUGAACCUGUCAUGGGCAGAAACAACAACUUUUAAUGGAUAUACUUUGAUGGUUUGCCUAGGGAAUUUCCCUUGUGGCGAUUUAGGUUGGCUCAACAUACCCACAUACCUUAUACCUUAUGCGGUAUUAAGCCAUUUUUGUUGUUUUGCUUAUUACUUUGUAAGGGGUACAAUGGGAUACUGUUUCAUCCCAGUACCUGCUUGUACUAUUCACUCUCCCUCUUGCUGCCCCCUGGAUCUGUGACUUUGUUAACUGGAGACUUUCAGCAAAAACAAACAGUCAACAAUUAGUUAACAUAUUUGGCUGAAUGUAAUCAGUUAACAGGGUCACUUGUUACUGUACUAGUACUGCUGGUGUUUGCAGAGCAAGUGAGGGAGAGGCUAGGUGACUUUGUCCUGUGGGGAACUGUAAUGCUGGGCUGUGGACUGAGUGAUACUGAGUAGCACUAUGUUUCAGUCUCCUCAGCCUGGUUGCUCUGGGACUCUUUCCCGUCUUAAACAAAUACUGAACGUGAUGUAAUGAUGUGGCGUCACAUGCGGCUGUGGUGGUGGCUUGCCAUCCCCUCCAAUUGGCUUGUCAAUAGCGCUAUAUUUCAUUACUUUGGUUAUUGUGACAGUGCUAUGUGCGCCCCAUAAGGAUUACGUUGCAGCCCUCUCAUUCAGACAGAAAAACAUAGGAAAAUAUGGUCCAGGGUGUAAAAAACCCACAGUUACCCUUUAACCCACCCCCUCCCCCCCUUUAUGUAUAUCAACCCUCUCAGCUCCAUGUUCCAGUUCAGUACAGUGCACACAGACACCCAGGAAACAACCAGUACCCCUUAACAUUCUAACAUCAGCAUGUUAAUAUGCUUAUAGUGACAAUGUUGACAUGUUUAGGUUAGCAUAAUAUUUACCAUCUUUACCAUUUUAGUUUAGUGUGUUAGCAUGCUUUAAUUAGCGUUAAACACAAAGCUAAAGGCUGAUGGGAAUACUUACUGUUAGAUUUCAUGGCAAUCCAUCCAAUAGUUGCUGAGAUAUUUCUGUCUGGAUCCAAGAGGUGGACCAACCACCGCCAUCACUAGCGCCUGCUGCUAGCAAGGAUUUAAUUUAAAUUAAACUUGAUUUUAGAAAACACUUUAAACUAGUUGAUUUGCAAUAUUCUUACUGCAAUUGCAAUUUUUUCCACUUUCUGCUAAAUGUGACUACGCAUAGCUGUCAGAUAAAUGUUGUUCAGUCAGACAACUCACAUUUAAAAUGUUUACUACAGCAGCAUAGUAUAUGGGGAGUGAUGAGCAAAUACCUUAAACCCCUAGCUGGAGCCUACAGGUGGAUGCUGGGGUGGUGGUGGGGCGUACAGCGAAGCAGGCAGCAAUACGGAUGCAGGGCAACAGCGGCAUUGACAGAGCAGAGGGAGAGCUGGGAAAUUUUGCAGUUUAAAUAGACCGCCGGAUUGAAAGAGAGCGCUUUGUUAGUGAUUAUGGAGUGAAGCAUGUCACGUGUAUAUAGCAGCGCAGCUCGAGUUGACUGCCUGAACUAGCUCACAGGCUUUGCUCCAUUUGCAUAAAAAGAACAAUAUUUCCCUCCCUAUUUAUUGGAGUAGUAGUGGAGUAGCAUACAAUGAAAAUACUCAGGUAAAGUGCAAGUACCCUUACAGUGGGAGCAAUAAUUAUUUGAUCCCUUGCUGAUUUUGUAGGUUUGCCCACCUACAAAGAAUGGAACUGUGUAUCAUUUUAAUCAUAGGUACAUUUUAACGUUGAGACACAAUAUCACAAAAAAAUCCAGAAUAACAUCAUACAAAUUGUAUAUAUUUAUUAUCAUAUUUCCUCAUGAAAUAAGUAUUUGAUCCAUAGAACAAUAGGACGUAAUACUUGCUGGAGAAACCUUUGUUGGCAAGCACAGAGGUCAGACGUUGGUUGUAGUUUUUCCACCAGGUUUGCACAGAUAUUGGGAGGGAUUUUGAUCCACUCCUCUUUGUAGAUCCUCUCGAAAUCCUUAAGGUUCCGAGGCUGUCGCUUGGCAACUCGUACCUUCAGCUCCCUCAACAGAUUUUCGAUGAGAUUUAGGUCUGGAGACUGCCUAGGCCACUCCAGGACCCUAAUAUGCUUCUUUUUGAGCCAUUCCUUUGUUGCCUUGGCUGUAUGUUUUGGGUCAUUGUCAUGUUGGAAGACCCAUCCAAGACCCAUUUUCAGUGCUCUCACUGAGGGAAGGUUGUCGCCCAAAAUUUCCCGGUACAUGGCCCCAUUCAUCCUCCCCUCGAUACGGUGAAGUCGUCCUGUCCCCUUAGCUGAGAAAAACCCCCAAAGCAUAAGGUUUCCAC